rnacentral:rRNA from 1 species
CCCAGUAACGGCGAGUGAAGCGGCAACAGCUCAAAUUUGAAAUCCGGCCCCCGGGGCCCGAGUUGUAAUUUGCAGAGGAUGCUUCGGGCGAGGCGCCUUCCGAGUUCCCUGGAACGGGACGCCACAGAGGGUGAGAGCCCCGUCUGGUCGGACGCCGAGCCCGCGUGAAGCUCCUUCGACGAGUCGAGUAGUUUGGGAAUGCUGCUCAAAACGGGAGGUAUAUGUCUUCUAAAGCUAAAUACCGGCCAGAGACCGAUAGCGCACAAGUAGAGUGAUCGAAAGAUGAAAAGCACUUUGAAAAGAGGGUUAAAAAGUACGUGAAAUUGUUGAAAGGGAAGCGCCCGCGACCAGACUUGGGCCCGGCGGAUCACCCGGCGUUCUCGCCGGCGCACUCCGCCGGGCACAGGCCAGCAUCGGUCCGGCGCGGGGGACAAAGGCUCUGGGAACGUGGCUCCCCCGGGAGUGUUAUAGCCCACCGCGCAAUGCCCUGCGCCGGACCGAGGAACGCGCACCGCAAGGAUGCUGGCGUAAUGGUCGUCGGCGACCCGUCUUGAAACACGGACCAAGGAGUCGUCUUCGUAUGCGAGUGUUCGGGUGUCAAACCCCUACGCGGAAUGAAAGUGAACGCAGGUGAGAGCCUCGGCGCAUCAUCGACCGAUCCUGAUGUCCUCGGAUGGAUUUGAGUAGGAGCAUACGGGGCCGGACCCGAAAGAAGGUGAACUAUGCCUGCGUAGGGUGAAGCCAGAGGAAACUCUGGUGGAGGCUCGCAGCGGUUCUGACGUGCGAAUCGAUCGUCAAACGUGGGCAUGGG